UACGUAGGGUGCGAGCGUUGUCCGGAAUUACUGGGCGUAAAGAGCUCGUAGGUGGUUUGUCGCGUUGUUCGUGAAAACCGGGGGCUUAACCCUCGGCGUGCGGGCGAUACGGGCAGACUGGAGUACUGCAGGGGAGACUGGAAUUCCUGGUGUAGCGGUGAAAUGCGCAGAUAUCAGGAGGAACACCAGCGGCGAAGGCGGCGCUCUGGGCCGGAACUGACGCUGAGGAGCGAAAGCGUGGGUAGCAAACAGG
rnacentral:rRNA from 1 species